UACGAAGGGGGCUAGCGCUGCUCGGAAUCACUGGGCGUAAAGGGUGCGUAGGUGGGUCUUUAAGUCAGAGGUGAAAUCCUGGAGCUCAACUCCAGAACUGCCUUUGAUACUGAGGGUCUUGAGUUCGGGAGAGGUGAGUGGAACUGCGAGUGUAGAGAUGAAAUUCGUAGAUAUUCGCAAGAACACCAGCGGCGAAGGCGGCUCACUGGCCCGAUACUGACACUGAGGCACGAAAGCGUGGGGAGCAAACAGG
rnacentral:rRNA from 1 species